rnacentral:rRNA from 1 species
UUUAAAGUCUUGCCUGCCCACUGAUUUUAUUUAAUGGCCGCGGUAUUUUGACCGUGCUAAGGUAGCAUAAUCAUUAGUUUUUUAAUUGAAAGCUGGAAUGAAAGGUUUGAUGAAAAAAAAGCUGUCUCUGAUUAAAAAUUAAAAAUUUAUUUUUAAGUUAAAAAGCUUAAAUUUUUUUAAAAGACGAGAAGACCCUAUAGAGUUUUAUAGAUAUAAUUUUUAAGUUUUUUAGAAUUUAAUAUUUAAAUUUAAAUAUUUAUUUGAUUGGGGUGAUUAGAAAAUUAAAUUAACUUUUCUUUUUUAUUUCAUAAAUUAAUGUAUAAUUGAUCCAAAUUUUUUGAUUAAAAGUUUAAAUUACCUUAGGGAUAACAGCGUAAUUUUUUUUGAGAGUUCUAAUCGAAAAAAAAGAUUGCGACCUCGAUGUUGGAUUAAAAUUUACUUUUGGUGUAGAAGUUAAAAGUUUAGGUCUGUUCGACCUUUAGAAUUUUACA